GAUGAACGCUGGCGGCGUGCUUAACACAUGCAAGUCGAACGGAGCUAUGACACGGAGUCUUCGGAUGAAGUGCUGUAGCUUAGUGGCGGACGGGUGAGUAACACGUGAGCAACCUACCUUUUGCAGGGGAAUAACUCUGGGAAACCAGAGCUAAUACCGCAUGCCGUGCGCUUGGGGCAUCCCAGGUGCAUGAAAGGAGCAAUCCGGCAGAAGAUGGGCUCGCGUCCGAUUAGGUAGUUGGAGAGGUAAUGGCUCCCCAAGCCGACGAUCGGUAGCCGGACUGAGAGGUCGAUCGGCCACAUUGGGACUGAGACACGGCCCAGACUCCUACGGGAGGCAGCAGUGGGGAAUAUUGGGCAAUGGGCGGAAGCCUGACCCAGCGACGCCGCGUGAAGGAGGAAGGCUUUCGAGUUGUAAACUUCUUUGGGGAGGGACGAAGAUGACGGUACCUCCAGAACAAGCCACGGCUAACUACGUGCCAGCAGCCGCGGUAAUACGUAGGUGGCGAGCGUUAUCCGGAUUUACUGGGUGUAGGGAGUAUCGACUCUCUCUGUGCCGAAGCAAACGCGAUAAGUAAUCCACCUGGGGAGUACGGCCGCAAGGCUAAAACUCAAAGGAAUUGACGGGGACCCGCACAAGCAGUGGAGUAUGUGGUUUAAUUCGAGGCAACGCGAAGAACCUUACCAGGGAUUGACAUCCUGCGCUAGGCUUGGAGACAGGUUGUUCCUUCGGGACGCAGAGACAGGUGGUGCAUGGUUGUCGUCAGCUCGUGUCGUGAGAUGUUCGGUUAAGUCCGGCAACGAGCGCAACCCUUGUUGUCAGUUACCAUCAUUAAGUUGGGGACUUUGGCGAGACUGCCGUUGACAAAACGGAGGAAGGUGGGGAUGACGUCAAAUCAUCAUGCCCCUUAUAUCCUGGGCUACACACGUACUACAAUGGGCGUUACAGCGGGCAGCCACACCGCGAGGUGGAGCGAAUCCCGAAAGGCGUCCUCAGUUCGGAUUGCAGGCUGCAACUCGCCUGCAUGAAGUCGGAAUUGCUAGUAAUGGCAGGUCAGCAUACUGCCGUGAAUACGUUCCCGGGUCUUGUACACACCGCCCGUCACACCAUGAGAGUCUGUAACACCCGAAGUCAGUAGUCUAACCUGAUUAGAUUAGGGGGACGCUGCCGAAGGUGGGAUAGAUAAUUGGGGUG
rnacentral:rRNA from 1 species